AGUGAACGCUGGCGGUAUGCCUAACACAUGCAAGUCGAACGAGUGGCGGAGGGGUGAGGAAUACAUCGGAAUCUACUCUGUGGCGGGGGUUAACGUAGGGAAACUUACGCUAAUACCGAAUACGAGUGAAUGAGCCGAUGUCGGAUUAGCUAGUUGGCAGGGUAAAGGCCUACCAAGGCAACGAUCCGUAGCUGGUCUGAGAGGAUGAUCAGCCACACUGGAACUGAGACACGGUCCAGACUCCUACGGGAGGCAGCAGUGGGGAAUAUUGGACAAUGGGCGCAAGCCUGAUCCAGCCAUGCCGCGUGAGUGAAGAAGGCCUUCGGGUUGUAAAUCCCUGUUGUUGGGAAAGCGGUACCCAAAGAAUAAGCACCGGCUAACUUCGUGCCAGCCGCCGCGGUAAUAC
rnacentral:rRNA from 1 species